CACACCAUAAAUAAAAACUUUAAAACCCUAAAGUUACCAGGAGCUAUCAACCUUAAACAAUCUUAAAGAAAAACUAAACAUUAGCCUCCCCCAAACUAAAACCUAACCCCCCACAUCCUCAGCCGCCUCAAGUCCAGAAACUAUCUACUAUCAACUCCGAUUUGAAACGGAGGAAGCAGAGGUUCCGACGUCGGCGAGGUGUACAGGGGCCGUGGACGUGGGCAAAUGCGUACGGAGGCUCGUGUGGGUGCAGAGGCCUGGCACGCACGAACAAGAAGAGUUGCUGCGGCGCUGGGGCAUGUGGCUAGGGUUCCAAGGCUUCUUUUUUCGCUGAAGUUAUUUUGGGCUAUCGGGCUGGUUAUUUGAACCGGUGUAAUGGGUGUAGGUUUGGUUUCAUUUCUGGGUAUUUUGUGUUUGGGUAAAUUAAUUGGGGCAAGGUUAGGUUUAGCUAUUUUAGUCUGUAAUUGGGCAGUGAUAUUGGGGCUUAGUGGGUCUAAUGUAUUUUGGGUUUGUAAUAUAGACUUUUAACAUUUUUUGCUUUUAUAUUGGUUUUUAAUAUCUGUAUCGGGCCCGGGCAAAUUGGGCCUAUUACAUAUAUAAUUAUACAUGACACUUCUCGUAUUAUAA